GACGAACGCUGGCGGCGUGCUUAACACAUGCGAGUCGAACGGCAAGGCCCUGCUUUUGUGGGGUGCUCGAGUGGCGAACGGGUGAGUAACACGUGAGUAACCUGCCCUUGACUUUGGGAUAACUUCAGGAAACUGGGGCUAAUACCGGAUAGGAGCUCCUGCUGCAUGGUGGGGGUUGGAAAGUUUCGGCGGUUGGGGAUGGACUCGCGGCUUAUCAGCUUGUUGGUGGGGUAGUGGCUUACCAAGGCUUUGACGGGUAGCCGGCCUGAGAGGGGGACCGGCCACAUUGGGACUGAGAGACGGCCCAGACGCCUACGGGAGGCAGCAGGGGGGAGUAUUGCACAAUGGGCGGAAGCCUGAUGCAGCAACGCCGCGGGCGGGAUGACGGCCUUCGGGGUGUAAACCGCUUUCGCCUGUGACGAAGCGGGAGUGACGGUAAUGGGUAAAGAAGCACCGGCUAACUACGUG
rnacentral:rRNA from 1 species